rnacentral:rRNA from 1 species
CCCUUAGAUGUUCUGGGCCGCACGCGCGCUACACUGAUGCAUUCAACGAGUCUAAAACCUGCUCUGAUAGGGGUGGGUAAUCUUUUGAAUGUGCAUCGUGAUUGGGAUAGAUGAUUGCAAUUUUUCAUCUUCAACGAGGAAUGCCUAGUAAACGCAAGUCAUCAGCUUGCAUUGAUUACGUCCCUGCCCUUUGUACACACCGCCCGUCGCUCCUACCGAUAGAAUGAUCCGAUGAAUAUCAUGGAUUGAGGAUGCAAGCAGGUUCGCCUGUCUUCAUCUUCGAGAAGUGAAGUAAAUCUUAUCAUUUAGAGGAAGGAGAAGUCGUAACA